rnacentral:rRNA from 1 species
CGGAGGAAAAGAAACCAACUGGGAUUACCUUAGUAACGGCGAGUGAAGCGGUAAAAGCUCAAAUUUGAAAUCUGGUACUUUCAGUGCCCGAGUUGUAAUUUGUAGAAUUUGUCUUUGAUUAGGUCCUUGUCUAUGUUCCUUGGAACAGGACGUCAUAGAGGGUGAGAAUCCCGUUUGGCGAGGAUACCUUUUCUCUGUAAGACUUUUUCGAAGAGUCGAGUUGUUUGGGAAUGCAGCUCAAAGUGGGUGGUAAAUUCCAUCUAAAGCUAAAUAUUGGCGAGAGACCGAUAGCGAACAAGUACAGUGAUGGAAAGAUGAAAAGAACUUUGAAAAGAGAGUGAAAAAGUACGUGAAAUUGUUGAAAGGGAAGGGCAUUUGAUCAGACAUGGUGUUUUUUGCAUGCACUCGCCUCUCGUGGGCUUGGGCCUCUCAAAAAUUUCACUGGGCCAACAUCAAUUCUGGCAGCAGGAUAAAUCAUUAAGAAUGUAGCUACUUCGGUAGUGUUAUAGCUUUUUGGAAUACUGUUAGCCGGGAUUGAGGAC